ACAGACCUCGCAGGUUUAUGAAUUUUUUUAGACGCAUAAGAAAAAGAAAUCGUGUUAACGUUUACAUUGAAAGACCUGAUACAGAAGCAUGCCAAGCCCGUCCAGCAAGGAAAGGUCUGCUGAAUAGAAUGAGGGACGCGUGGUCAAGGAUCAAAAGAAUAGGAAGGAAUCGUGUACACCCUCAGACUCAAGAAUCCUCUGGUUCAUUACCUGAUGCAGAGUCAGAAAGCUUAUCUGAAUUAUCACUUACAGAAGGGAUAGUUCUGUCUAUUGAUAGAACGCCAUCCCUUAUUUCACUAGUAGAAAGUCCGGCCAGGACUUGUCUGAUUCCGUAUAACGAGGAACCCGACAAUGUGUUGAUAGCGUGUUUUGAUAGAGACUGAGCUUUCAGUGAAACUGUUUUGCCUUUUCCAAGAAAAGAAACCCUUGCAAUGCUGUCAUUCUUCAACCAAGGGAUCAAGGGAAAAACAUUUAUACAAACGAGCUGACCCCAUACUUUUACUUAGAAGUAUGCAUGUUGCUGGAAAGUGAAAAAAGGAAAUGUAUUAACUGACGGGAUGUGGGACCAUGUUGUAACUGUAGAAAAUGUCACAGUGCAGAUCGAAUGAAAACAUACACUUAAAAAUUACUUUUACUAUCAAGUUAUUCAUUUUAUCUGGUAUUAUUUCAUGUUUUGUUUUUGAAUUGAGCAAGUAAUAUUUUUUUCUUUG